CCGUACAGUGCUGUGAAGUAAAAUGGGGAUACCUUUACCACAUGAUCUCUUUUAUAUCAUACUUUUGGUAUAAAAAUUUUACCGCACACAAUAUCUGUUAUAUCAGUACUGUGGGGUAAGAUGGUUACUGGUCACAAUAUUUUAACAUAGUUCUGUAUGGUAAGAUUGAAUAUCGUUACCACAAUGUAUCUGUUAUACCAGUUCUGUGGGGUAAGAUGGAUUACCGCGCGUAAUAUCUGUUAUAUAGUCCUGUGGGGUAAAAUGGGAUGCCGUUUCCAAAUAAUAUCUCCUAUACAGUACUAUAGAGACAGAUGGAUAACGUACACAGUAUAACUGUUAUAUAUUUCCCUGGGGUUACAUGAAAUACCGCACUUAAUAAUAAAGGAGUCAAAACGGGGGUGGCUUGUCAUUUACUAUACAAUCUGCGUCAGAACAGCCAAGAAGAUAGUACCAGGCGUCAACAAGCAACUAAGAGAGAAUCAACAACGUACGGAGUCAACUUCAACCGAGCCAAUCACUCACGUUCAACGUCGCCCCCAACAAUUGGUGACCUCGGAGCACGACCUUCCGACAACAGAACAACGACAAUCGCUGCUAGAACACGGAGGCCCUACAAUUGAUCACCCCACCAUGCAGUUGACACAUCUACGCGAAUGUAUCGAUCUAAUUCUCCACCAAACAAAUCCUCAAGUGAAUAAUAUCACUGUAAAUAUGUCGAUGGAAAGUUACGGCCACAACAAAGUCGAGCAGGCAUCGAAGAAAA